rnacentral:lncRNA from 1 species
ACUUCAGUUAUUCUCACCUACAGUAUCCUUUCUUUACUUUAUAUUUGAACACUAAGGAUCCAUGGACUAUAUCUCUGGUCGACAAUCCUCAGGGCAGCACCAAGUCACUGGCAACUUUCAGUUCCUCCAUCUCGCAGCUGAUGUCACGAUACAAACACACCAAUGAGUUCAACACCGGCUUUGUGUGGGCUCGUCUGUCACACGUCCAUCCGGCUCUGCUCCAACAGGUGGAGGUCACUGUGAGUGUGGCUACUGACUGGGAUAGCUCCCAACUGCCCUUACCCACCCCAGUGAACCGAACAGUAAACAGUCUGAUCGAUGAAGUCUUUCGUCUCCUGGACCUCACGCGGCAUGAUAAUGGCCGCUACGUUUUAAAAUUGUGUGAUUCUGAGGAGUAUCUUCACAAUGAGGAGCUCUUGGGAAUGCAUGAGACCAUUCAAAUCUACAGCAAGUUUAACUGCAUUGCCCCUCUACGCCUGCUGCACAUAAACGACUUCAGGCGCUGUCUGGCCCGGGACGUGAGUCACUUUAAACUCAUUAUGUGUUGGACUUAUUGAACAUUUACUGAAAGAGGCUGGACUUUCCUCCCUGUGUGCUGAUAUGUGUGGAGCACCUGAGCUGGGCACUGGGCCCAGUUUAUUAUUCUCCAGGGGAAGGUUUUACAGCUGCACAAGUUGACUUUGUUCUGUUUGCCCACUACGUUGCCAGUGUUGAUAUAAACAAGAACAAAAAUGAAUGGUCAACGUCCAUCUACA